rnacentral:lncRNA from 1 species
CUCCUUUGUGCGAUCCGUCCCGAGUCCACAGUCGCUCGCGGUCUUGGUUGCAGGGACCCUAAGUCCGUAGCCUCGUCUGGCUUCACGGGCCCCGCAGCCCCGACUGCCCUGGACCGUACCACGACUCCUCAAGGCCCCCAGGGCUGUGGCUUGGGAGCCCCGUCCAAUGCGCGGCCCCUUUGCUCGGCUCGGGACAUCUCGCCCCAAAGAAACUCGCCUCGCCGGGGCCCCUGGGUUACCCGGGACUCGGGGCUAGGGAUAGAGGGCGACUACACUGCGCAAGAGAUCGCAAUGAAGUCCGUAGAUCUCCAGGCUGGAGCCGCAGAGCGAGGUGGCGAGGUGGAGAACGCGGGGCUGGGCCUGGACAGCGGCCCUGGGGUCGUCUGGAGUCCUCGCUCCCUCAACCCGGAAGGCAGCGGACUGACAUCUGCGCCGAAGUCGCGCGUACCCCACGGAGGGUCGGGACCCUGGAAAUUUCGAACGCCCCAGCAGUUCAGGGCAGUCAUCGCUUUUCCCAAGCCGGGGAGUCCGGGGCCCCGCCAGGUUUCUCCGCGCUGUGACCUCGGGCGCGCAGAGCGGAGAGCGCCAAGCUCUCUGCUGGGUGUCGGAGGACGCGCCGAAAACAGGGACGUCUCUGCAGUGCGUCCGACACCAGCUCUCCAGUCCUGCUGCCGCCCGGGGUUGCUGCAGCCCGGGUUAUCCCGGCCCCCCAAGCUGCCCGGCUUUCGGCCUCCCCUGCUCCCCGCGCUGUGGGGUGGCGGAGGAUGGACCCAGGCUGACGCUGGGCUGGGUACCUGGAAAGAGGGCCCGCCUCCCGGACUCCGAGUCGGGCACCUGUGCGAAAGAGGCGAAAAUUCAGGCCUGGUGCUCAAGGCUCAGAGAUGAGGAGACCUCCCCAUCCCCCCAGAUUCCUGCCGGCGGUGUUGGCGCUGACCUCCUGGAAGCUGGCCUCGCCCUGGGUAUUCCCCAGCGUUACGCGGGCCUGUGGAUCUAAUUUUAAUUCAUUUGUAAAACAAAAGGACCAACCCUUCCCGACUUUUGGCGGUGGAGGAGGCUUGUAGGUUGAGGCCAGCGGUUCGAUCGAGGAAAGAGUUUGGGUUUGGGGAUUAAAGGGCCCAUUUGAGUCAGCGACUUACUGGUGGUGCAGCCCCUCGGCCUCCCAGAUCGUAGUUCCAAAUUUUAUGUAAAACAACUAAUUUAUGGAACAAUUUAACAAAUGGCAGAAAGAAGUGAGAGUCCCUCUGUUGGGACGUUGGCCUCUCGCCUUAGAAGUGAAGCCCCUUCAGAAGUGGUGGGUGAACCGAAGGCAUUUCCCAAGCAGUCAAGAGAAAAGAAAUACCCCAAAAUGGUUCUUUGAGGUCGGCUUUUCGGCUGGACUCUGCCCCCUUUUCCUUCCCCCUUUCCCAAAGAUUUCUGAUUUUUGUCAAAGGAAUGCUAGUUGUGGGGGUCCCAGGUGCCUUUUACGAAGCCGCCCUCCCCUUCCAUCCCCGUCGUUGCAGGGGCGGUUGCGGGGUCAACGGGAAGUACUCGGGGUGGGACACGCCUCUUCUUGCUGAGUCUCAGGUGAACACAGUCUAUUGCUUCCACCCAAAAGAGCAGCCAGUGCCACCUGCCACUCAGCUUAGCGAUUUCCAGUGCCCCCCUCAGGGGAAACCAUGCUGCUGUCCGUAGGUGUGACCAGCUUUUUGGUGACUACCUCUUGAAGAAAGUGUCUUUCCCUCAGCACAUGUGUAGCAAACAGGACUUGGAUCCUCUCCUUAUGGUGCAAACCCAUAUCACCGCCUAUAGACACCCACUUUCCUCCCAUAACACCCUUCCGGAGCUUGCCAGAGGGUCUGGGAUGACUCCACACCUUCAGGAAUUUUGAAACGGCUGCUGAUUAGGACUCAGUUUUUGAGUCCGUGCUUGAUGAGGAUGUACAGAGGCUGCACAGCUCUGCCUUGACCCAAAUCAUCCCAGAGAGAGUGCGAAGGUGGGAGCUGCAGCCGGACCCGCAGGGCCACCGGCAUGGCAGGUUCUGCAAGAGCCCGCCUGGCCGUCCCUGCUUUCUAGCGGCUGACGUGAAGUACUGGACAAAAGCAGCUGCUCCUUGUCAAGGAUUUCCAUUGUCCAAGGCUGUGUACGUAGAAGACACCUAUUUUGGUGGAAUAACACAAUGAUUUGACAGGAAGAACUAAUUUUAUCUGCAGUUAACUGCUCUACUGUGAGAAUAAUAUCAGAGAUGUUGAAUUUUAAAGAAUAGCUUGGGUCAUCUUUUGCAAUGUAAAGGAAUUUUUUCAAAAAAGACGGCAGCUCCUUCCACAUUCUCUUGAAUUUUAAUAGCCUUUCUUUCUGUAAAUACUAUAACUCUGUAACACUCGUGAGUUUCAGGACCUCUAAGAAAAUCAAAUGAAACUUCCUGUAAUUUCCUUUAAUUAUACUUUACAGAAAUCAUU